rnacentral:piRNA from 1 species
UGGAUCUUUCAAAAGUUUGUG